rnacentral:misc_RNA from 1 species
AAGUCGUAACAAGGUUUCCGUAGGUGAACCUGCGGAAGGAUCAUUAUAAAAUUUUUCUUGCAUAUUUUUUUAAAAUGUGUAAAAAAAACCUUGUAUUCAAAACCCACACUCUUUAAAACCAUAAUAAAAAAAUUUUUAUAUGUUUAUAUACAUGAAAUUUUUUUAUUUAAAAAUAAUAUAUAUAAUAAAAAGACAACUUUCAACAACGGAUCUCUUGGCUCUC